rnacentral:tRNA from 4 species
UGGGCUAUGGUGUAAUUGGCAACACGGCGGUUUCUGGUUCCGUUGUUCUAGGUUCGAGUCCUGGUAGCCCAG